GAGAGAGAGAGAGAGAGAGAGAGAGAGUUUGCGUAUUCAGAAGGCAACCCGGAGUCAAUAAGCUUGAAAUAAUACAUUAAGUGCUCGCGUAGAAAUCAACACCUUACGUUAGCCGCACUCUUCAGGCCACCUUUUCCAGCAAACCCGGAUGUUUUGGUGCUGGUGUUCACCGAUAAUGUUAAAAUGAAUAAAACAUCAUAAAAGCACCAACUUACCGUUGUUGUCUCCGCCAUAAUUCUGCAAUAUUUCUCUCUGAGCUGUUGCACUGUACGGAAACUGCUGGCCCAGUCCUACUGUCCUGAAAUUGCUGCAAAAUGGCUGCAGUAUUUCGUCCUUUCCGGUGCCUUCGUGCUCAGAAGAGCCUGGCUGCUCGGCAACCAGAAUCCGAAGUCAACAACAGAAGCCGGGCAUACAGAGGUGAAAGUCAUGCGUCGCUCAGCUGCCAAAUCACGGGCCGAUAAAAGCCGCACCGAUUCUGUCCCAGUUAAUGCUGCCCCAGCGAUCCAGCCCAUUGAGACAGUGGACAUUGUCCCGGGCCGCCUUACCGAGUCCAGCUGGACCAGCAUGAUCUCCCAGGAGGAGGGUGAGGAGGUGGUGGCAGACAUUAUAGCAGAACUGAUGGAAGGAGUGAUGGACAGAUGCUAUCAGCUGUAUCUAAAAAGACAGUUGAUACCCUUCUCGGUUUGGUGGGCACAAAAUAACCUGGUGGAGACGCUAGAAUGUCUUCUCCUGAGGAGAGAUGAAGGGGAUGAUCCAGAACAUGGACUCUUUUGGCAAGAGGAUCAAGAACCUCAGCCCUGUGCGAUUGAUUCCUGGGCUGAAGGAUGUGUUCCUGUGCUUCAUGCUGCUCAGGAAUAGCACAACGCUUUAUCACAGGUUUAUAUGGCAUUCAGACAUCCUGAAGUGAAAGGACUGCUGGACCAUACAGAGGUUUGAUAUGUCUAACCCAAAAUCCUGUUGCACACAAAUUGACUGUACAUAAUGUCUCAACAGAACUACACCAACUCCAACCUGCUUCGGCUCAAUCCCAGUAGAGCGAUGAUCCUGAAUUAUUCACGAAAACUCAAGAAAGUCUGACUUCAUUAAAACUCCACACAUAAGGAACUCCAAGGAAGCAAAUCUCUGAUCCUCUAGGGGUGUAAUUGCCUCUAUCGCUCGCCAAGUGUAGUCCUACUUCGAAUAUUUUCAUUUGACUCUCUCAGCCUCAAAACACAGACUAUUUAGGCCUGCAGGUGAGGAAACAGUGAUGCUAUGAGAUCCAAAAACUCAUGGACUAAUGUUGUAGCCUUUAGAGCACAGCUAGUAACAGACCAGAACAGUGUGAACCAUGACUGGAAAAAAAUAGCAGCUUUAGGUUCCUGCUGCAUACAGUGCUGAGACAUUUUUUACUGCGCUCUUUUUGCAUUGAGUAAAUCAAUGCCUUGUCUGCAUUUUUCUCUGACUGUUGUUGUAAUAAAGAGUUUGACUUAAGUCA